rnacentral:rRNA from 1 species
GACGAACGCUGGCGGCGUGCUUAACACAUGCAAGUCGAACGGAAAGGCCUCUUUCGGGGGGUACUCGAGUGGCGAACGGGUGAGUAACACGUGAGUAACCUGCCCUUGACUUUGGGAUAACUUCAGGAAACUGGGGCUAAUACCGGAUAGGAGCUCCUGCUGCACGGUGGGGGUUGGAAAGUUUCGGCGGUUGGGGAUGGACUCGCGGCUUAUCAGCUUGUUGGUGGGGUAGUGGCUUACCAAGGCUUUGACGGGUAGCCGGCCUGUGAGGGUGACCGGCCACAUUGGGACUGAGAUACGGCCCAGACUCCUACGGGAGGCAGCAGUGGGGAAUAUUGCACAAUGGGUGGAAGCCUGAUGCAGCAACGCCGUGUGCGGGAUGACGGCCUUCGGGUUGUAAACCGCUUUCGCUCAUGACGAAGCUUUGUGUGACGGUAGUGGGUAAAGAAGCACCGGCUAACUACGUG